AUACGGAGGGGGCUAGCGUUGUUCGGAAUUACUGGGCGUAAAGCGCACGUAGGCGGAUUAAAAAGUUAGAGGUGAAAUCCCAGGGCUUAACCCUGGAACUGCCUUUAAAACUAGUAGUCUAGAGUUCGAUAGAGGUGAGUGGAAUUCCAAGUGUAGAGGUGAAAUUCGUAGAUAUUUGGAGGAACACCAGUGGCGAAGGCGGCUCACUGGCUCGAUACUGACGCUGAGGUGCGAAAGCGUGGGGAGCAAACAGGAUUAGAAACCCCGGUAGUCC
rnacentral:rRNA from 1 species